CCUACGGGUGGCAGCAGUGAGGAAUAUUGGUCAAUGGGCUUACGCCUGAACCAGCCAAGUCGCGUGAGGGAAGACUGCCCUAUGGGUUGUAAACCUCUUUUGUCAGGGAGCAACGCCGGCUACGUGUAGCCUGCCUUAUAGUACCUGAGGAAAAAGCAUCGGCUAACUCCUUGCCAGCAGCCGCGGUAAUACGGGGGAUGCGAGCGUUAUCCGGAUUUAUUGGGUUUAAGGGGUGCGUAGGCGGAAUGCCAAGUCAGCGGUAAAAUCUCGGGGCUCAACCUCGCUCCGCCGUUGAUACUGGCGGUCUUGAGUGGGCGAGAAGUAUGCGGAAUGCGUGGUGUAGCGGUGAAAUGCAUAGAUAUCACGCAGAACUCCGAUUGCGAAGGCAGCAUACCGGCGCCCAACUGACGCUGAAGCACGAAAGCGUGGGUAUCGAACAGGAUUAGAUACCCGGGUAGUC
rnacentral:rRNA from 1 species